UACAGAGGGUGCAAGCGUUAAUCGGAAUUACUGGGCGUAAAGCGCGCGUAGGUGGUUUGUUAAGUUGAAUGUGAAAUCCCCGGGCUCAACCUGGGAACUGCAUGCAAAACUGGCAAGCUAGAGUAUGGUAGAGGGUGGUGGAAUUUCCUGUGUAGCGGUGAAAUGCGUAGAUAUAGGAAGGAACAUCAGUGGCGAAGGCGGCCUGCUGGGCUGUUGCUGACGCUGAGGCGCGACAGCGUGGGGAGCAAACAGG
rnacentral:rRNA from 1 species